rnacentral:lncRNA from 1 species
UGCAUUUCAUUUAGAAAGGGAGAAUACGAGGUUCAAGGCCUAAGACCAAUACCCAUUAUAACAGCCCAACAGCAAAUUAGUCUAGACCUAAAAAUGUGAGGCUUUGAUUCGAAAAGGAUCAAUUUGAAAAAGAAAAAGAAUACAGUAACCAUAGCGUCGCAAGACCAAACAACAAAAGCAGCAUCGAUUGAAGAAACAAUCAUCAGAAGGACGAAACAAAUAUGGCUUCUUCCGCACAUAAAUGCCAGUCAAUCGGAAAAAGAAGAUAAAAGUUCCAUCACCGAAGGUCCAUUACGAGAUUUUGGACAGCAUCAGAGCAUGGUCGAAAACAGAGAAGGAGGAGAUUCCUUAGAGACUGGAUCAUCACAACCUGGAUAUUGUGAGCGUCUCAGAAAAAUACUCAAAACUCGAAACUUCAAGAAAGGUGAGAUACCAUAAAAAGCUUUGAAAGAGUGAAGAGCCGACAACAAAAACCUUAAUCCUCCAUGCGCAUGCAAAUAAUGAAAAGGCAAUGAAACACAUCUGCAUAUAAAGAAAAACAC